AUAUACGGUUUAAAAAAUAAUUUUCAUUCAACUCACAAUUCUAUGCUACAGUCCUUAUUUCAUUUUAUCAAUCACUAUGCUCUAUCAGCUAUCUAUGGUUCUAUUUCAAUUCUCUCUUGAUUUGUAAGGUUAUGUUAUUCUUUCUUCGGUUAAUCCUGGGUUAAUCAGCUGUCUCUGCUUCCUUCGUCGAUGUGGUUAUCUCUUGAUGUCCAAACUUACGAUGAUUCCUUGAAUUCAAUGUUUAUGAUAUCUUGAUCUUGAAUAAAGGUAUGAUGACCAUAACAAGUUGUAUCUUCGGUGAAAAUUUUAAUGUUUUUCUGUUAUAUAAAGCUCUUUACCUUGACAUACCUGAUUGAAAUAAAGUAAAUAGAAACUAUGGAAUUUUGAAUCUCAGAAAUUAUAAUUCCUCACAGAAAAAAACUG